rnacentral:rRNA from 1 species
UACGAAGGGGGCUAGCGUUGUUCGGAAUUACUGGGCGUAAAGCGUGCGCAGGCGGCUUCUCAAGUCAGGGGUGAAAGCCCAGAGCUUAACUCUGGAAUUGCCUUUGAGACUGAGAGGCUUGAGUACGGGAGAGGUGAGUGGAAUUCCCAGUGUAGAGGUGAAAUUCGUAGACAUUGGGAAGAACACCGGUGGCGAAGGCGGCUCACUGGCCCGUAACUGACGCUCAUGCACGACAGCGUGGGGAUCAAACAGG